GMUUCCCCUAGUAACGGCGAGUGAAGCGGGAAGAGCUCAAAUUUGAAAUCUGGCGGUCUCCGGCCGUCCGAGUUGUAGUUUAGAGAGGCGUUUUCCGCGUCGGACCAUGUACAACUCCCUUGGGAUGGGGCGUCAGAGAGGGUGAGAAUCCCGUUCGUGACAUGGACUGCCGUCGCUCUGUGAUGCGCCUUCGAAGAGUCGAGUUGUUUGAGAAUGCAGCUCAAAACGGGUGGUAAACUCCAUCUAAAGCUAAAUACAGGCGAGAGACCGAUAGCGAACAAGUACCGUGAGGGAAAGAUGAAAAGAACUUUGGAAAGAGAGUUAAACAGUACGUGAAAUUGUUGAAAGGGAAACGCUUGAAGUCAGUCGCGUUGGCGGAGACUCAGCCUGGCCUCGUGCUUGGUGCAUUUCUCCGUCGACGGGCCAGCGUCAAUUUCGGUCGCCGAAGAAAGGUGGGGGGAAUGUGGCACCUUCGGGUGUGUUAUAGCCCUCUGUCAUACGCGGUGGCUGGGAUUGAGGACCGCAUUUUUAGGAUGCUGGCGUAAUGGCUGUAAACGACCCGUCKUGAAACGCGGA
rnacentral:rRNA from 1 species